UCGAGCGAGAUUUUUUCCUGUAGCAAUACAGGGAAAAGUCUAGCGGCGAACGGGUGCUUAACACGUGGGCAAUCUGUCUUAAAGUGGGGGAUAGCUCGGCGAAAGCCGAAUUAAUACCGCAUGUGAUCAGAGUGGACAUCCAUUCGAAAUUAAAGUCGGGGCAACCUGACGCUUUUUGAGGAGCCCGCGGCCUAUCAGCUUGUUGGUGAGGUAACGGCCCACCAAGGCUUUGACGGGUAGCUGGUCUGAGAGGACGACCAGCCACACUGGGACUGAGACACGGCCCAGACACCUACGGGUGGCAGCAGUCGAGAAUUUUUCUCAAUGGGGGAAACCCUGAAGGAGCGACGCCGCGUGGAGGAUGAAGGUCUUCGGAUUGUAAACUCCUGUCAUUGGGGAACAAGUCGCUUACGUUAACUGCGCGAGCGUUGAUAGUACCCGAAGAGGAAGAGACGGCUAACUCUGUGCCAGCAGCCGCGGUAAUACAGAGGUCUCAAGCGUUGUUCGGAUUCAUUGGGCGUAAAGGGUGCGUAGGCGGCGCGGUAAGUCGGGUGUGAAAUCUUGGAGCUUAACUCCGAAACUGCAUUCGAUACUGCCGUGCUUGAGGGCUGGAGAGGAGACUGGAAUUUACGGUGUAGCGGUGAAAUGCGUAGAUAUCGUAAGGAAGACCAGUGGCGAAGGCGGGUCUCUGGACAGUUCCUGACGCUGAGGCACGAAGGCCAG
rnacentral:rRNA from 1 species